UUGGAGAAGGCCUGAAUCAUCUGAAACUGAAAUCAAACCAGCGUUUUUGAGAAAUUUCCCAGAAGAUUUCAGUGAACUUUGAAUCAUUCCCUCAAAUGCCUCAUAAGUCAAACAAAACAGAGAAUUACAUCUUAGAAAAGUUACAAGAUAAGGUUCUCCUGCCUGUGAGAGAGGUUCCACCUUGUGUUUUCAUGGUAUGGGAAGAAAAGAAGACUGACAGUUUCACAAGACAUGUCGGUUCAUUGCAUCGUGUUCCUCUUUGAUUCAAGUCCUCCAAAGCAGUAACUAUCAUUCUCUUUUCACAGCAAAGUGUGCACUUUUCCAACACUGGUAAUUCCUAACCUGGAGACCAGUGAUUAGUGUGUACCCCACUGGCAUUUGUCUAUACAUCAGGCAAGGAAAUAAGAGUGUAAUCCAAAAUUAAUCAAUGAAAUGAAAAAGGGUCUGAAGCUACUG